GUGCUUGCUUGGCACAUAUACUAAAAUUAGAGUGAUGCAGAGAAGACUAGCAUGUCCCUUGUGCAAGGGUGACAGGCAGAUUCGUGAAGCAUUACAUGUUUUU